AUAAUAUCGUAACGCUAUACUGAGUUAGGUUUAUAGUGAAUAAAGAUUUCUUAUUAUUAAAACGCAUCUUUGAGUUUGUGGGGCGAUGAAUAUUAACUGAGAAGAAAUGAGUCUUGUCCUACUAUAGAGAUCCCCUGAAAUUUCAGGAACGGCAUGUUGUAUGUAAGGAGAACAGUGAAAAUCCAACUCCCAGUUUUUGGUUAAAUAAACAUAAAAUAUAAAAUGUAAAUACAUUAAAAAUCGUUUUCGUUUUUCAGUUCUCGUUCCUUAAAAGUGC